AAAAAACUUGAAUGAAACAAUAAAAGACUCACUAAGUUAAGGAGGAAUAUGGAAUGAAUCAACUUAAAGAAUACUUAAAUUAUGGGUAAAAUCAAAGGUAAUAACCAACAAAAUUGCAUAUUAUCACAACCCUAAACUUGAACAUUGCUCGUUAUCAAGUGAUUUAACAAUAAGUAUUCAACAACAUUCAAAAAUCCUAGCCAAGAACCAUGAAAUUAUACAUUUAAUCCUAGCCAACCCUUGUAAAUACAACCUAAAUUAUUCCCCCUUUGGUGCAUGUUGUUUGUGUGUG
rnacentral:lncRNA from 1 species